UACGUAGGGCGCAAGCGUUGUCCGGAAUCAUUGGGCGUAAAGCGCGUGUAGGCGGCCCGGUAAGUCCGCUGUGAAAGUCGGGGGCUCAACCCUCGAAUGCCGGUGGAUACUGUCGGGCUAGAGUACGGAAGAGGCGAGUGGAAUUCCUGGUGUAGCGGUGAAAUGCGCAGAUAUCAGGAGGAACACCAAUUGCGAAGGCAGCUCGCUGGGACGUCACUGACGCUGAGACGCGAAAGCGUGGGGAGCAAACAGG
rnacentral:rRNA from 1 species